CUGAUGCCAACCCUUCAGCAGAGGCUGGGUGAUGUUGAAGGAGCUGCUCCAGCUCCCAGGGCCCCCAUCACUCUUCCACAGCAGCACACACGUGUCUUUGCUGUUGCCCUUCCUGGAGCUGCAGAGGAGGACAACCUAGAUCCUGUUCCUGCCAGUAUUUGGGUGACAAAGUUUCCUGGGGAUGCAGAGACUCUAUCCCAACCAUCUUCACACACAGCCACUGAAGGCAGCAUCAACCAGCAACCCAGCGGGGACAGCAAUCCGACCCUAGAGCCGUCCCUGGAGGUCCACAGGCUGGAGAGGCUCGUGGCUCUCAAGAGAGUCUCCUCAGAGAGUUUUGCUCCCAGCCUUAGCACCCAUCACAGAACUCAGGAGGAUCCCAGCUUUGAUUCACUGG
rnacentral:sRNA from 1 species